UACAGAGGGUGCAAGCGUUGUUCGGAAUUAUUGGGCGUAAAGGGCGCGUAGGCGGUGCCACAAGUCACCUGUGAAAUCUCCGGGCUUAACUCGGAGCCUGCAGGCGAAACUGUGGUGCUGGAGUGUGGGAGAGGUGCGUGGAAUUCCCGGUGUAGCGGUGAAAUGCGUAGAUAUCUGGAGGAACACCGGUGGCGAAGGCGGCAUCCUGGACCGGCAUUGACGCUGAGGAGCGAAAGCCAGGGGAGCAAACGGG
rnacentral:rRNA from 1 species